UGCCAGCCGCCGCGGUAAUACGGAGGGGGUUAGCGUUGUUCGGAAUUACUGGGCGUAAAGCGCACGUAGGCGGAUUAGUAAGUUAGGGGUGAAAUCCCGGGGCUCAACCCCGGAACUGCCUCUAAUACUGCUAGUCUUGAGUUCGAGAGAGGUGAGUGGAAUUCCGAGUGUAGAGGUGAAAUUCGUAGAUAUUCGGAGGAACACCAGUGGCGAAGGCAGCUCUCUGGGACGGUACUGACGCUAAGACGCGAAAGCGUGGGUAGCGAACAGGAUUAGAUA
rnacentral:rRNA from 1 species